AGAAAUUUAGGUUAACUAAACCAAUGGCCUUCAAAGCCAUAAAUACGAGCAAACCCCUCUUAAUUUCUG
rnacentral:tRNA from 1 species